ACGGGUGAGUAAUAUAUCGGAACGUGCCCUAGAGUGGGGGAUAACUAGUCGAAAGACUAGCUAAUACCGCAUACGAUCUAAGGAUGAAAGUGGGGGAUCGCAAGACCUCAUGCUCCUGGAGCGGCCGAUAUCUGAUUAGCUAGUUGGUGGGGUAAAAGCCUACCAAGGCGACGAUCAGUAGCUGGUCUGAGAGGACGACCAGCCACACUGGGACUGAGACACGGCCCAGACUCCUACGGGAGGCAGCAGUGGGGAAUUUUGGACAAUGGGGGCAACCCUGAUCCAGCAAUGCCGCGUGAGUGAAGAAGGCCUUCGGGUUGUAAAGCUCUUUUGUCAGGGAAGAAACGGUUUUGGCUAAUAUCCAGAACUAAUGACGGUACCUGAAGAAUAAGCACCGGCUAACUACGUGCCAGCAGCCGCGGUAAUACGUAGGGUGCAAGCGUUAAUCGGAAUUACUGGGCGUAAAGCGUGCGCAGGCGGUUGUGUAAGACAGAUGUGUAAUCCCCGGGCUCAACCUGGGAAUUGCAUUUGUGACUGCACGGCUAGAGUGUGCCAGAGGGGGGUAGAAUUCCACGUGUAGC
rnacentral:rRNA from 1 species